rnacentral:lncRNA from 1 species
AUUUUUGCAGAGAUUUUCCUGGUCAAGAGUGCAACAUGAGUCGUGGAUAUGAACUUUACUGUCAGAUGUACAUUGAUUGGAAAGUGAACAAGAUAUCUGCACUGAGAAUGAAUGAAGUUGAAGAAAGUUGAAAGGCACCCCAGAAGAACCUGAAUUAUUUUAGCCCUAUCCUAGAUUCAUUGAAUAUUUUAGUGUGUGAUAACAUGUGUGAAAUGUUAUCAAUUAUGUGACAAUUUUCAAAACUUGGAUUU